AGCAGUCCGCGGUAAUACGGAGGGCGCGAGCGUUACCCGGAUUUACUGGGCGUAAAGGGCGUGUAGGCGGCCUGGGGCGUCCCAUGUGAAAGGCCACGGCUCAACCGUGGGGGAGCGUGGGAUACGCUCAGGCUAGAGGGUGGGAGAGGGUGGUGGAAUUCCCGGAGUAGCGGUGAAAUGCGCAGAUACCGGGAGGAACGCCGAUGGCGAAGGCAGCCACCUGGUCCACUUCUGACGCUGAGGCGCGAAAGCGUGGGGAGCAAACCGGAUUAGAUACCCCGGUAGUCCCUGUCUCUUAUACAC
rnacentral:rRNA from 1 species